rnacentral:tRNA from 2 species
GGGCGGGUGAUCUAGCCUGGUUAUGAUGCCGCGCUUACAACGCGGUAGUCGCCGGUUCAAACCCGGCCCCGCCCACCA